rnacentral:rRNA from 1 species
AUUGAACGCUGGCGGCAGGCCUAACACAUGCAAGUCGAACGAGUGGCGGACGGGUGAGUAAUGUCUGGGAAACUGCCCGAUGGAGGGGGAUACCUACUGGAAACGGUAGCUAAUACCGCAUACCAUCGGAUGUGCCCAGAUGGGAUUAGCUUGUCGGUGAGGUAACGGCUCACCUAGGCGACGAUCCCUAGCUGGUCUGAGAGGAUGACCAGCCACACUGGAACUGGGACACGGGCCAGACUCCUACGGGAGGCAGCAGUGGGGAGUAUUGCACAAUGGGCGCAAGCCUGAUGCAGCCAUGCCGCGUGUAUGAAGAAGGCCUUCGGGUUGUAAAGUACUUUCAGCGGGGAGGCGUUACCCGCAGAAGAAGCACCGGCUAACUCCGUGCCAGCCGCCGCGGUAAUAC